GACGAACGCUGGCGGCGUGCCUAAUACAUGCAAGUCGAACGAACCGCGACUGAGUGCUUGCACUUGGUCAAGGUGAGUGGCGAACGGGUGAGUAACACGUGGGUAACCUACCUCAUAGUGGGGGAUAACAGUCGGAAACGACUGCUAAUACCGCAUAGGACAUAGGAUCACAUGAUCCAGUGAGGAAAGGUGGCGCAAGCUAUCGCUAAGAGAUGGACCCGCGGUGCAUUAGCUAGUUGGUAGGGUAAAGGCCUACCAAGGCGAUGAUGCAUAGCCGACCUGAGAGGGUGAUCGGCCACAUUGGGACUGAGACACGGCCCAAACUCCUACGGGAGGCAGCAGUAGGGAAUCUUCCGCAAUGGACGCAAGUCUGACGGAGCAACGCCGCGUGAGUGAAGAAGGUCUUCGGAGCGUAAAGCUCUGUUGUUAGAGAAGAACAGCGCAUAGAGUAACUGCUAUGCGUGUGACGGUAUCUAACCAGAAAGCCACGGCUAACUACGUG
rnacentral:rRNA from 1 species